UGGGGAAUAUUGCACAAUGGGGGAAACCCUGAUGCAGCGACGCCGCGUGAGCGAAGAAGGUUUUCGAAUCGUAAAGCUCUGUCCUAUGAGAAGAUAAUGACGGUAUCAUAGGAGGAAGCCCCGGCUAAAUACGUGCCAGCAGCCGCGGUAAUACGUAUGGGGCGAGCGUUGUCCGGAAUUAUUGGGCGUAAAGGGUACGUAGGCGGUCUAUUAAGUCAGGUGUGAAAGCGUGAGGCUUAACCUCAUUAAGCACUUGAAACUGAUAGACUUGAGUGAAGGAGAGGAAAGUGGAAUUCCUAGUGUAGCGAUGAAAUGCGUAGAUAUUAGGAGGAAUACCGGUGGCGAAGGCGACUUUCUGGACUUUUACUGACGCUCAGGUACGAAAGCGGGGGGAGCAAACAGG
rnacentral:rRNA from 1 species